UAAAUCAAAUAUGAAUAGUAAAAUAAAAAUAAAAAAAAUAAAAUAAAAUAAGAGAAAAAAAAACAAGUCAUAUUAUUUAGCCACCCGGACGAAAUUGGGUGUUGACAGCUGCUCUUCUUUACUUAGAUUUUACUGGAUAAUAGGAAAAUGUAAUAUUUUCGUAUUAUCUGAAUAAAAGUUAAGUAAAGAUAGAAACACUAAUUUCAUCUGGGUUUCAAACAUGAAAGAAAGCGAACAAAAAUGAAACAAGUCACGAUCAAAUGACCAUUGCCUAGCAGAGUACCAAUAACAGAAAACUAAAACCUGGAUUUGACCAUUGCCUCGCAGAGGGCCAAACUCGCAGAACAGAAAUUUAAAUCCAACCAUUGCCAAGUAGAGGGCCG
rnacentral:lncRNA from 1 species